UCUCCGUUGGUGAACCAGCGGAGGGAUCAUUACAGAGUUUUCACAACUCCCAACCCUUGCGAACCGUACCCAUUCUGUUCUCGUUGCUUCCGGCGGGGGGGACGGGGGGGCCCGAAACGGCCUCUCCGCCCCGCCCGCCGGGGGCGGCGGGCCCUACGAACCUUUAUAUCCCACCCACCAGAAAGCGUCUGAGAAAACACACAAAAAAAUCAACACUUUCAACAACGGAUCUCUUGGCUCUG
rnacentral:misc_RNA from 1 species